UGGGGAAUAUUGCACAAUGGGCGAAAGCCUGAUGCAGCAACGCCGCGUGAGGGAUGACGGCCUUCGGGUUGUAAACCUCUUUUAGUAGGGAAGAAGCGUAAGUGACGGUACCUGCAGAAAAAGCACCGGCUAACUACGUGCCAGCAGCCGCGGUAAUACGUAGGGUGCAAGCGUUGUCCGGAAUUAUUGGGCGUAAAGAGCUCGUAGGCGGCUUGUCGCGUCUGCUGUGAAAACCUGGAGCUCAACUCCGGGCCUGCAGUGGGUACGGGCAGGCUAGAGUGCGGUAGGGGAGAUUGGAAUUCCUGGUGUAGCGGUGGAAUGCGCAGAUAUCAGGAGGAACACCGAUGGCGAAGGCAGAUCUCUGGGCCGCUACUGACGCUGAGGAGCGAAAGCAUGGGGAGCGAACA
rnacentral:rRNA from 1 species